AUUGAACGCUGGCGGCAUGCCUUACACAUGCAAGUCGAACGGUAACGGGCCUUCGGGUGCCGACGAGUGGCGAACGGGUGAGUAAUGCAUCGGAACGUACCUUUCAGUGGGGGAUAACGUAGCGCAAGUUACGCUAAUACCGCAUAGUCUGGGAGCAGGGAAGCAAGGGAUGGCAAGACCUUGCGAUGGCUGAGGGGCCGAUGUCAGAUUAGCUAGUUGGUGAGGUAAAGGCUCACCAAGGCGACGAUCUGUAGCGGGGCUGAGAGGAUGACCCGCAACACUGGAACUGAGACACGGUCCAGACUCCUACGGGAGGCAGCAGUGGGGAAUUUUGGACAAUGGGGGCAACCCUGAUCCAGCCAUGCCGCGUGAGUGAAGAAGGCCUUCGGGUUGUAAAGCUCUUUCGGUCGGGAAGAAAUCGCAUGGGUUAAUACCCUGUGCGGAUGACGGUACCGGCAUAAGAAGCACCGGCUAACUACGUGCCAGCAGCCGCAGUAAAAC
rnacentral:rRNA from 1 species